rnacentral:rRNA from 1 species
UAGGGAAUCUUCCACAAUGGACGAAAGUCUGAUGGAGCAACGCCGCGUGAGUGAAGAAGGGUUUCGGCUCGUAAAACUCUGUUGUUAAAGAAGAACAUAUCUGGGAGUAACUGUUCAGGUAUUGACGGUAUUUAACCAGAAAGCCACGGCUAACUACGUGCCAG